AUUGAACGCUGGCGGCAUGCCUUACACAUGCAAGUCGAACGGCAGCACGGGUGCUUGCACCUGGUGGCGAGUGGCGAACGGGUGAGUAAUACAUCGGAACAUGUCCUGUAGCGGGGGAUAGCCCGGCGAAAGCCGGAUUAAUACCGCAUACGAUCUACGGAUGAAAGCGGGGGACCUUCGGGCCUCGCGCUAUAGGGUUGGCCGAUGGCUGAUUAGCUAGUUGGUGGGGUAAAGGCCUACCAAGGCGACGAUCAGUAGCUGGUCUGAGAGGACGACCAGCCACACUGGGACGGAGACACGGCCCAGACGCCUACGGGAGGCAGCAGUGGGGAAUUUUGGACAAUGGGCGAAAGCCUGAUCCAGCAAUGCCGCGUGUGUGAAGAAGGCCUUCGGGUUGUAAAGCACUUUUGUCCGGAAAGAAAUCCUUGGCCCUAAUACGGUCGGGGGAUGACGGUACCGGAAGAAUAAGCACCGGCUAACUACGUG
rnacentral:rRNA from 1 species